CACCGUCAAACAGACACACACCGAUGCCACGGAGAUACGGGGGGGGGGGGGCAGAAGGAGGAGGAGGGGGAGGGAGGAAUUCUCCCUCAAUUACUUACAUUUUCUCCUCCUCUUUCCCUCAAUUUACCCCUCAAUUAUAAUAAUAACAAUAGCAACCACAACAAGAAUAAUAAACAGCUUCUCAGGCAACAAACAGCCAGACACGAACUGAUGCGCGCUCAAAACACACACCAUCCCCAUCCUCAACGGACGCUCGCUCAAACCCAACGCCACUGCCAUCGACCUCUACAUCCCUAAAGCAAAUAAACAACGUGUGCGCCAGACAGGAAUCCGCGCGCGCUCACCGCACACACCACCCUCUACCCACAACGGACGCUCGCCGAGACCCACUGCCACCGUCAUCACCCUCAACAUCUCCCAAACCACCCAUCAAGGUAAGAAACCGCCGCCGGCUUACACCCUUCCUUCACUCCUUCCUUCACUCCUACAGUAGACCAUCCCACUCUCUACGGAUGCUCUCUGAAACUCGCCACCACCGCCAUCAACCUCAAUACCCCCAAAGCAGCCUGCCAGAGGAAGCAAAGUGCUCCUUUGCUCCUUCUCUCCACUACACCUUCUCUCAAACCGCUUCCCCCUCUGAGAGGCCACCACACACAACAACAGAAAGGUAUACAUCACACUCAGAGAUCCUUGGGAAGGGUGAGGGGACAGCCUGAGGAGCCUUCAUGAGUGGGGUGCGCUGCCAAAGCCAGAGAAGAGAGGGAAUGAGAUGGAAGACCAAAGAGGCCUCACAAUGACGACGGGGGGGAAAGGAAAGGGAGACCGGCCGGCUGAAUGGCAGGGACAAAUAUGGUGCGACGAUCACAAAAUGCACCCCAGAAAACUCAGAACAACCCAAUACAAAGACAAACGAGAAAACCCCCCCACAAAUAAACCAAUUAAAAUAAUAAAACACAACAAUACAAAAAAAACAGAACAAAAGAAAAAAAUAACAUGAUCAAAAAAAAAACACAAUGCACACAAAUAAAAAACACAAUAAUAAAAACAAAAUAAUAAUGAAACAAUAGUAAAAUAAAAUACAAUAAAAACAAAAAACAAACAAACAAAAACCCAAAUAAUAAAAACUAAAAACAUAAAAUACGUAAUACAAUAAAAUGACUAAAAAAUUAAAAGAAAAUACACGAAUAAAAAUAAAAAUACCUCUAUAUUUUUGAAACAACACCGCCACACUUCUCCACAGCAACGCAUAAAGAACAACACUCUGAAAACAGGUCUACUGCAGACAGAAAACAAUCCCUCCCAGUUAACACCUCUCAACAAAGGAUUACCCCAGGCAGGAAUCAGCCAGGCUUUGAACAUACAAAGUAGGAAACGGGAUUUGUAACAUCACAGGACACUAACUGUGACAUAUUUUAACUUUCUUUCAGGUAAAAUUAUGACUCUAUUGGGUUGAACUGUAAAGGAAAAAAAACCAAGUCUCUCAUGUUACUUACUUUCUUGGUGGCAUUGACUUGUCUAUAUAUGAAGGGAAGUGGCAUCUUUCAAGAUGUGUUAAUUAGCUAUGCUUAGUCAUUAGAUGCACCAGUCUGACUUGAUUUAUUUCUCUUGCAUUAAUAACUUAUGAGCUGUCAAUAUUCAGUGCUGCUGAGACAAUUUAUGAAGCAAGUAUUCAAUUCAUUUCAUGAAUUGGAAAUUGCUCACAACUAACUUUUCCAUCACCCCCACGUUCCUUUAUCACACAAUGCAGGGAGAGUGAGUAAGGGUGGUGGGGGGGAUGAAAUCCUUAACAGACAUCACUGAUUGCAAGAACUAGGUCCCAUCAACUUCUUUCUUUUCCUUCAAGAAACAACAUGAAUUCUGCUGGGAAUACUAAUUGACAGCUGGCAUCCUGGCAUUAGCCCAACUUAAAAAACAUUUGUAUUGCAAACUUAAUGCAGUUUGACACCACUUUAACAGCAAUUGCCCAAUGCUAUGGAAUCAUGGGAGUUGUAGUUCUCCAAGGUCUUUGUUUGCCAAAGAGUGCUGGUACCUCAUGAAACUGCAUAUUUCAGGAUUGCAUAAUAUUGAUCCAUAUGAAACUGUGUCAGUUUUAUAAUGUAGAUACACCCUCAGUCAGAGCUAAUGGAGCUGCUAGAGCUUGGAAAUAUUUAUUAAAUGAAUUCAUGGAAAUGUAUUAUUUUAUCCCUGGUCAAUCCAAAGGACCCUUGGCUUCUCCAUAUUUGAGAUCACUCAUGGAAGUGUCAUAGAAUCAUAGAGUUGGAAGAGAUCACAUAGGCCAUCCAGUCCAACCCCCCUCCAAGCAGGAAAAGCACAAAGUACUUCUGACAGAUGGCCAUCCAGCCUCUGUUUAAAAGCCUCCAAAGAAGAAGACACCACCACACUCCGAGGCAGUGAAUUCCACUGUUGAACAGCUUUUAUAGUCAGGAAGUUCUUCCUAAUGUUCAAGUGGAAUCUCCUUUCCUGUUAUUUGGGCCCAUUUCUCCUUCUUCCAUAUGACAUCCUUUCAGAUAUUUAUACAUAGCUAUCAUGUCACCUUUCAACCUUCUCUUCUGCAGGCUAAACAUUAUAUUAAAUUGGAUUAAAUUGGAUGCCCACUAUGGAAAAUCUGUGAAGAAAUCUGCCUUAAGUUGUGCUGAAAUUUGGUGAGAACUCAAGUUAGACCUUGGCAUUUUGGUGUUAAUAAGACCUUCAGUGAAUGUCUCAUAAGUAAACAGCACCAAGGUAAGCUAAUACAGAAUGCAGAAAUCACAAAUGUUAUUGGAUUGUUUGAAUGGUGUACUGACAUAUGACAAAAUGAUUUAUGUAAAUACUUGCUCCUGAUGACACUUUCGCAUCUACCAGAUGGAUUCUAAAUACCCAGUAUUUACAUCCAUACAUACUUUUCUAGGUAUACAAAAGAACUGACCCACACAAAACACUGAUUGAGGCUGAUGGAAACCUGAAUCUGAUAACUGCAGGAGAGGCAUAUGUUCUCCAGCCCCAUAGUACAAUCUAGUCUAGAUAUCUCUAAUCGUAGUAGCAGAUAUGUACCAAAGGAGGGUAGAUUUGUACCAAAGGAGGGUAGCAAAAUACCCUACCAUUGAUAUCCCCCACCACCACCAAGUCAAGGAACCUACUAUCAAAAUCCAGCCAAGUUACUGUAGACAAGAAGCAGAAAAUCCCACAAGUACCGUGUUUCCCCGAAAAUAAGACCUCCCCAAAGAAUAAGACCUAGCAGGGGUUUGGGGGGAUUGCCAAAUAUAAGGCCUCCCCUGAAAGUAAGACCUAGCAACUGAGGCUGCAGCAGAGUUCCAUUGGGAAGCAUGGCUGCAGGGCAGAAGCAGCACUCAUUCACACACCGGAGGGAGGGAGGGAAAGUGCUUGCUUUCUGUGCCUCCCUCCCUACCUGCCUGCCUUUCCUUGCCUGUCCCCCAGCCGAGGCUUGAAGAACCUUCUGUUUCUUCCUUCCUUCCGUCUCCCUCCUGGCCAUGCUGCCUUGCUUCCCAGAGGCUUCUGAUUGGCUCCUGGAGCCCGGGCAAGGGAGGGUGGGAAGGAAGGAAGAGGGCUUUCCACUCCUCCCCAAGGCUUCGCUCCUUAAAGGUACAGGACGCAUUGGGAUUCUCCUCUCAUCUUCCUAUCCUAUGCCAUGAAACUGAUUAUUUUAUACUAUUAUUCUAUUGCCAUAUUAUUAUCAUCAUAUUCUGUUACUAUUAUUAUAUCCCAUUAUUAUAUUAUCCUAUUAAUAUAUUUU
ensembl:lncRNA